AUUGAACGCUGGCGGCAGGCCUAACACAUGCAAGUCGAACGAGUGGCGGACGGGUGAGUACUGUCUGGGAAACUGCCUCAUGGUGGGGGAUAACUACUGUAAACGGUAGCUAAUACCGCAUACCAUCAGAUGUGUCCAGAUGGGAUUAGCUAGUAGGUGGGGUAACGGCUAACCUGGGCGACGAUCCCUAGCUGGUCUGAGAGGAUGACCAGCCAAAAGGGAAUUUAGACACGGGCCAGACACGUACGGGAGGAAGAAGUGGGGAAUAUUGCACAAUGGGAGCAAGACUGAUGCAGCCAUGCCGAGGGAAUGAAGAAGGCCGUCGGGUUGGAAAGUACUUUCAGCGGGGAGGCGUUACCCGCAGAAGAAGCACCGGCUAACUCCGUGCCAGCAGCCGCGGUAAUUC
rnacentral:rRNA from 1 species